rnacentral:misc_RNA from 1 species
CUGAAUUCGGAAUCGAUACAAAGGAUCUCCAAGGUGCAUGAUCAAUAUUUGGAGUUUGUGACUUUGGAGGAUAAUUUGUUUUCAUUAGCCCAGAAAUCUAGCUAUGUUCAAUUGAAUGAUCCUUCUGCUGGGGAUAGGGAGAUUGAAGAGAUAAUUGAGAAGAUUGUUAGUGGUUUAUUUUGUGUGCUGGCAACCCUGGCAGUUGUGCCCGUUAUCAGGUGCCCAAGGGGAGGGCCAGCAGAGAUGGUGGCAUCGGCAUUGGAUCAGAAAUUGAGGGAUCAUUUAUUGUCAAAGAACAAUCUGUUUUCAGAAGGUGGUGGUUUUAUGAGCUCAUUUCAGAGGCCCAUUUUGUGUAUAUUUGAUAGGA